CUGAGUAGCAAGAGGAAUAGAAUAGAGCCCUGUGGGACUCCAUGGCACAAGUGCCAUAGCACAGAGCAAGUAUCCCUCAGCA